rnacentral:lncRNA from 1 species
AGUCAGGUAUGGAGCCCCGAGUCCUUGAGCUCCACUGCCGGUUGUCCAAGACAAAAAGCUUUAGAGGCAUCAAAGACCACUUCUUUGCUGAGAUGGAUCAGAAUUGGCCUGAAAACCUGUUUGCCUUUCCAGAGAGUUUUCUUUUUGGUUUAUUUAGUGGCUAGCGGCAGUCUCUCCAAGGGAAACCACUGGAUUUAUUAAUGAGAAAAUGAAGGCUUGUGUUUAAGCCUCGUCUCUGAGCCCAUGGAACAGACUUACGGCGUAUGACCUCAUCGGAGACUUGUACAUGGGGCCAACCCCCAUUUUCCCACAGGAAACCCACACUCUAAUUAAGGGCUGACCCUGAACUUGAAUCUGAGUCUUCUCUUUCUUCAACAGAGAGCCAUCUCUCCAGCCCAGCUGGCAAGGAGACAGGUGAUGUUACAGGAAAAAAUACACAGCUUGUGCCCUUGGAAUUACCAGAGUUCAAAGCCUGUUCAGCAUCUACCCACCAUGUGACCCGGGUCGAAUUCUUCAGUUUCUCUAAGCCCAUUUUCUCAUCUGUAAGAUGGGGAAGUGUAAUCAGUUCUGAACCCACAUAUACCUCACUGGGCUUGAACAGGCCUGAGCAGGCAUGUGGGGCUUUACUAGCUAGCCAUCCUUUCUGCCGCUCUCCCUCAUUCUCCUUCAAGCCCCCCAAAGUCCUUGGUGGAGGAGGAAGUGGAGACAGAACGUUUGGUGUUGGGUGAGGUACGUGAGGAGGCUGAUUUCAGAACCUCCAGGAAACAAAGCUUUAGUGUUCCGAGGGCAGUGCCCGCCUGUGCCUCCUCCUCACAGGGGGUAGUAGGAGUGGGGUGGGGCCGAGGCAUUUCCCAGCACAGCUCAAUCACAUCUCCUGCGCCUGCCCUUGUGACCUGCUCACUGGAAAGGAAGAAAUGACCGAGGGAGAAGGGAGGGCAUUUGAGAAGAGGAUGGAGAAAAAAACUGGAUCAUCUCGUGACAUGGAAAGAAAGGUCUGAGCUCUGACGAUCCCCUCACGUGAUUAUAGGCAUGAGGACUCACUCUUCGAAUUGUUUGAAAAUUGAAUGGACUGGCUCACACCUUCUGAAAUUUCUUGGAAGCUCUGGAGUAACUAUUCCACUAAAGAACAGCGUGUUUUUGGCUGAAAUCUGUGACUGUUUGUUUUUGAGUUAUUUUAAUCUCUGUGUCAAGCAUGAAAACCUCAGCAGCCUGGGAUUUAUAAUUAGAUCCCACUGGCAUGCCCUCUCACCUCUCAAACAUGCCACAGUGCUUUGGCUCUCUCCUUGUGCAAACCUCCCUUUGAUAUUUUUGGAUAUCGAUACCAAGUGUAUCUGCAUAUUUUAACCAACUGAUAUGCAUAUCCUGUGAUCUGAGGCAUUCGCUCAAUGUGGGGCAUCAGGCCAGCUGUGAACUUCCUUUAAAAUUUAUUUUGUGUCAAAUGAUUCCCUAAUGCUAUAGCUCCCUUGAACUGCUAGAUUUAUGAAAAUUCUGCACAACACAUAGCUCAGAGAAAAAAAAAAAAGAGUGUUGCAAGACCAGAUAUAGGAUAUCAUUUGAUUUGUUUAAAACACUCUGUCCAGGGGGUUUUGACUUGCUAAUUUAAAAAUAAUUCUAAAAUUAGGUACAGUUGACCCUUAGUAUCCAUGGGGGAUUGGUUCCAGGAUGCCCUGUGGAUACCAGAAUCCAAGGAUGCUCAAGUUCCUGACAUAAAUGGCUUAGUGUUUGCAUAUAACCUACUCCCCUCUUCCUAUAUACUUUAAAUAAUCUCUAGAUUACUUAUAAUGCCUAACACAACGCCUGUGCAUCACUUCAUUCAUGUGGAUUCAAUGUAGUACUUGGUGUGAAGAAAAUUUAAGUCUUGCUUUUUGGAACUUUGUGGAUUUUUUUUUCUGGAAUGUUUUUGAUCUGCAGUUGGUUGAAUCCACAGGUGCAGAACUAUGGACACAGGGGGCUGACUAUGUAUAUUUAUAUCCACUUGCAAAAUUAAGAAUAAAAAUAAUGUGCAUCAGCAGGUGCAGAUUCUGAUGCUCGGUGGACAGUA